rnacentral:rRNA from 1 species
UACGUAGGGCGCAAGCGUUGUCCGGAAUUAUUGGGCGUAAAGAGCUCGUAGGCGGCUUGUCACGUCGGGUGUGAAAGCCCGGGGCUUAACCCCGGGUCUGCAUUCGAUACGGGCUAGCUAGAGUGUGGUAGGGGAGAUCGGAAUUCCUGGUGUAGCGGUGAAAUGCGCAGAUAUCAGGAGGAACACCGAUGGCGAAGGCAGGUCUCUGGGCUGUAACUGACGCUGAGGAGCGAAAGCAUGGGGAGCGAACAGG